AUGUACAUUCCUACAACGUUAAUGCAUUAGAUCCCAUCAAAACUCCACAGUUCAUUGUGCUUGGGUUGGAGUAGUAUUGGGAUGGGUGACCUCAUAGGAAAUCCUAGUGUUUUACAUG
rnacentral:rRNA from 1 species